rnacentral:lncRNA from 1 species
AGAGAGUGGUGGAGCCAUGUGAAAUCUAUUGCAGAGAGUGGAGUAGGAUGUGGCCAUUUUUGUGACUUGUCAGAGAGUUCGGAUCUGUCGGCUGGAGCUCGGCUGAGAUAUCUGAUGGAGCAGAAUGGCUCUCUAUCUCGUCGAUCUAGGAGAAGCUCGAAUAUUUUUGAGAUUGCUGAUGAGUCUACUGUUGUCGGAUGCCUCGGACGCUGAUGCUACAGGCGGGAGUCAUCUGCUGUAGAAGCUCGGAUGGAGACUUCUGUUGGUGAAGUCCGGUAGGAGUUCGAUUGCUAGAGAAGCCC